GGCCUUNGUAACGGCGAGUGAAGCGGCAAAAGCUCAAAUUUGAAAUCUGGCACCUCCGGUGUUCGAGUUGUAAUUUGGAGAGGCAUCUUCUGGAGGGGCCCAGCCUAUGUUAUGUGCCUUGGAACAGGACAUCAUANAGGGUGAGAAUCCCGUACUUGGCUGGAUGUACCCUCCUGUAUGUAGUGUCUUCUACGAAUCGAGUUGUUUGGGAAUGCAGCUCAAAAUGGGUGGUAAAUUUCAUCUCAAGCUUAAUAUUGGCGAGAGACCGAUAGCGCACAAGUAGAGUGAUCGAAAGAUGAAAAGCACUUUGAAAAUAGAGUCAAACAGUACGUGAAAUUGUUGAAAGGGAAGCGCUUAGGACCAGACUCAGCCUUUGGUGGACAUCCGCCCAUCGGGGUGGUGCACUUGUCAUUGGUUGGGCCAGCAUGGGUUGGGACGGUGGGAUAAAGGCUCGGGAAAUGUGACUCCUUUAUGGAGUGUUAUAGUCCCGGGUGGCAUGCCACCAGUCCCGACUGUGGAACGCGCAUCGGCACGGAUGCCGGGCAUAAUGGUUUUCAGCGACCCGUCUUGAAACACGGACCAAGGGAGUCAAANGUCUAUGCGAGUGUUUGGGCAUCAAACCCUCACGCGUAAUGAAAGUGAAUGGAGGUGGGAACCCUUGAAGCACGCGGAUAGGGCGNUCCAUCGACCGAUCCUGAUGUCUUCGGAUGGAUUNGAGUAGGAGCAUAGCUGUUGGGACCCGAAAGAUGGUGAACUAUGCCUGAANAGGGUGAAGCCAGAGGAAACUCUGGUGGAGGCUCGCAGCGGUUCCUGACGUGCAAAUCGAUCGUCAAAUUUGGGUANAGGGGCGAAAGACU
rnacentral:rRNA from 1 species